GGACUGGCGGGCGUGCCUAUACAUGCAAGUCGAGCGGACAGAUGGGAGCUUGCUCCCUGAUGUUAGCGGCGGACGGGUGAGUAACACGUGGGUAACCUGCCUGUAAGACUGGGAUAACUCCGGGAAACCGGGGCUAAUACCGGAUGGUUGUCUGAACCGCAUGGUUCAGACAUAAAAGGUGGCUUCGGCUACCACUUACAGAUGGACCCGCGGCGCAUUAGCUAGUUGGUGAGGUAACGGCUCACCAAGGCGACGAUGCGUAGCCGACCUGAGAGGGUGAUCGGCCACACUGGGACUGAGACACGGCCCAGACUCCUACGGGAGGCAGCAGUAGGGAAUCUUCCGCAAUGGACGAAAGUCUGACGGAGCAACGCCGCGUGAGUGAUGAAGGUUUUCGGAUCGUAAAGCUCUGUUGUUAGGGAAGAACAAGUGCCGUUCAAAUAGGGCGGCACCUUGACGGUACCUAACCAGAAAGCCACGGCUAACUACGUGCCAGCAGCCGCGGUAAUACGUAGGUGGCAAGCGUUGUCCGGAAUUAUUGGGCGUAAAGGGCUCGCAGGCGGUUUCUUAAGUCUGAUGUGAAAGCCCCCGGCUCAACCGGGGAGGGUCAUUGGAAACUGGGGAACUUGAGUGCAGAAGAGGAGAGUGGAAUUCCACGUGUAGCGGUGAAAUGCGUAGAGAUGUGGAGGAACACCAGUGGCGAAGGCGACUCUCUGGUCUGUAACUGACGCUGAGGAGCGAAAGCGUGGGGAGCGAACAGGAUUAGAUACCCUGGUAGUCCACGCCGUAAACGAUGAGUGCUAAGUGUUAGGGGGUUUCCGCCCCUUAGUGCUGCAGCUAACGCAUUAAGCACUCCGCCUGGGGAGUACGGUCGCAAGACUGAAACUCAAAGGAAUUGACGGGGGCCCGCACAAGCGGUGGAGCAUGUGGUUUAAUUCGAAGCAACGCGAAGAACCUUACCAGGUCUUGACAUCCUCUGACAAUCCUAGAGAUAGGACGUCCCCUUCGGGGGCAGAAUGACAGGUGGUGCAUGGUUGUCCUCAGCUCCGGGCCUGAGAUGUUGGGUUAAGUCCCGCA
rnacentral:rRNA from 1 species